CUGGAUUUUGCCUCAAAACCCAUUGUCUUUAUCACAUCCAUUCCUGCCCAUUUUGCCACUCCCUUCAAUCUUUCCCUAAAUGGAUCUUUCUAAGUACUUGCUUUUUAUCACAGCUUUGGUGCUGCUCAGUGUCGCUUCAGCUUGCUCCCAUGGAAAGUGCGGGAUGUUGGAGAAAUGCUCGUCGGACCAAGAUUGCGACGCCGGACUCUAUUGUUUCUACUGCGUGGAAGGGUUUUUAAGCUAUAAAUGUGUGAGGUCGUCCGCUACAGACCAAUUCAAGCUUCUGAAUGAUUCUCUGCCUUUUAACAAGUACGCAUUUUUGACAACACAUAAUGCCUAUGCUAUUGAUGGAUAUCCAUCCCACACUGGAGUCCCUCGAUUCACUGUUACCAAUCAGGAAGAUACUGUCACUCAACAGCUAAAUAAUGGAGUUCGUGCCUUGAUGCUCGACACCUAUGAUUUUCGUGGAGACGUAUGGCUGUGCCAUUCAUUUAACGGACACUGUUAUGACUACACUGCAUUUGGUCCUGCUAUUGACACCCUGAAGGAAAUUGAAGCUUUUUUAUCAGCAAACCCAUCAGAAAUUGUGACAAUAAUCUUAGAAGAUUAUGUUCAAGCCUUUAAAGGAUUGACAAAGGUGUUCACCAAUGCUGGAUUGAUGAAAUAUUGGUUUCCAGUGCGGAACAUGCCUAAAAAUGGACAGGAUUGGCCUCUAGUCAAGGACAUGGUAAAAAAUAACCACAGGCUACUCGUUUUCACUUCAAUUAAAUCCAAAGAAGAAAGUGAAGGAAUUGCUUAUCAGUGGAAUUACAUGGUUGAAAAUCAGUAUGGGGAUGGUGGUAUGCAUGCAGGAAGUUGUCCUAAUAGAGCAGAGUCACCUUCCCUCAACGAUAAGAGUAAAUCAUUGGGGUUGGUAAAUUACUUCAGGACUAUCCCCAUGAAGGAACUCACAUGCAUAGAUAACUCCAAGGAUCUUUUAGACAUGCUUCAUACUUGUUAUGGUGCUGCUGGCAAUAGAUGGGCUAACUUUGUUGCUGUCAAUUAUUACAAAAGGAGUCAAGGAGGUGGAUCAUUCCAAGCUGUGGACACACUCAAUGGAAAGCUUUUGUGUGGAUGUGAUGAUAUCCAUGCAUGUGUGAUUGUUUUUGCAGCCUGGGUCAAGUUUAUCAGCAGCCUGCUCCGCCCAAGAUAAAUUGUAGUGAGAGAACACCUGCAUGAUGUUGAAAUGGAUGAAACGCUGGAAUGAAGGGAGAGAGACGAGUGGCUCACCACAAGGCUUUCGAGUAACUCAACGACGCAGAGAAGGGAGACUUUGUCCUGCAUGCUCUAAACACUCAUAAUUAAUUUUGUUCUGCCCGAUCUAAAUCAAAGAACAAGAAAAAAAAAAGUCUCUGCUUUAUUGUUUAUUUGUUAAUUGUUUACACUUUUUAUAAUAAACACAACAAUAAUAAUAUUGCAGCAUAUGGGAUGACUUGCAUUUGAAGGAAUUCAAUUAGUAAAUUAUCCAAUUAUUUCAUAUAUUUGAUAACUUAGAACUUUUCUUUUGAAGCAUAUUUAUGAGAUUAGCUUCAUGCUUGUUUCUUUGCGUGACCAAUGGGCUACAGGAGAGAGUGCUUAAUAGAAUUGGAUUAAUUAGAAAAUAAAUAAAUAGGAAAUCUUUCGCUAUCAUGUAACAGUAGAGAUGGGCAACUAACCAACUGCUUGAUUACCCAACACAUUGGGCCAGAGAGUAAGGAAUCUCUACUCAACAAUGGCUUUGUCCAUAUUAUCAAUAAUUGAGUUGUCAUUGGUCUGCAUAAUAAAUUACUAGUAUCCAAGUAUUAUAGUUAUUUGUAAACCUUCAAUUUUUAUAGUCUAAUUUAAAAAUUCAAAAACUAAUUAACAAAAGUUUUAGGAGAUUUUUUUAGUUAUAAUGUAAUCCAAAAUUUUAAAACAUUAUUAACUACGUGAAUAGUAAGAAGUGAUAUCAAUAUAUGUGGCAACCGUUGAAUGGCCUAAAUCUAGGAUGCUAAUCUAGAUUUAAUUGAUUGUGUAAUUUGACUACAAAUGCUUUUAGAUUCAAAAACUAUUCUAUCGACCUUGGGAUUUUAAUUUAAAAAGUUAAGAGGUUCAUGUGAAAUACAGAAAGGUAAUAGUGAUUUAUAAUUAUUGACCAUAUUAAACAUAAACACAAUCUCCCAAAAGAAUAUGAAAGUUAAUUCAUAGUUUUAUCUUAAGUAAGUCCAUAGAUUAGAUGGAGAGAGACCUAGAUUGCAGUGUGAAAUCUGUAGGUUUUUUUU